AGUGCUAGCUUGGAGUACGCCCUUCGAGGGUAGGCGUGAGAAGUUGCUCUGUGUGCUGAGCUUUCUAAAGGAAGGCAUCCGUUGGCCUUUGUACCCGUCUUGAUUGAGAUGCAAGUAGCAGCCCCAGUGAACCAAAAAUGUCCCCAGACUUUGCCAAAUAUCCUCCCCCUCGGGGAAGAUCGCCUCGCUUGAGAACCACUGUUGGAGGAGAGCCUGGGUUUUCGGGAGGUGACCGUUUACAAAGGGGAGGACGGUAAGAAGCCGGAAGCAAUGAUGUGUUAGCUACGUGAACGACUUGUGGCCGGGCUGGCCCCUCUUCUGGAAGCCGUCAGUUUGGGUCUCGCGUCUGGGAUCGCCGUCGAGGAGUCAGAUCCAGCCCCAGAGAGGGAGCAGGGUCGAGGUGUCGUUGCAGAAGGCGCCACCGGAGGAAGCACAGGGGCAACGUGCGGUCUUCCUAGCGGAGGCACUCGCGAUCCUGCAGCCGCCGGUCCGGGAGGUGCUCGGUACCCCUCCGUGGUGCCUGUCCGGUAGCUGGUCACUCUCGGGGGAAGGUCGUGCUACAGAAGGGCAUUAUGCGAUCACACAGAGACGGCGUUGCUGCGGCUUUGACCCUAUGGUGCACCCGAAAGAACACAGAGGGUGGAGGGAGAGAUCCAGGAAGAGGUCCCGGAGCAGAACCUCCUUUCACUUAAGUUAAAAAGAUAAAAUGGAGCUGCUAGAAAUAGCAAAAGCCAGCCCAGCUAAAUCUUUAGGAAUAGCCAACCCUGACUUGCCAGAUGGUCUCAGAACUGUUCCUAUCGUUAAAGAAACAAACUGUGCAACAGCUGUACUAUAUGCCACAAAGUUCGAGGUAAGUACUUCAGGUGUAUCCAAACAAAACCUUCCAAAAGAUCUGGUUAAAAUUUUUUAUUUGAUUUAACUUCUAUGCUUCUCAGAAAGGCUAAAUAUAAUUUGUUAAAGUCAAAGUAGCAGAUCUGGAAAUAGUAAACAGGCUCUCACCCAUGAAAAUGGGAGGGGAAUGAACUUUACUUUUGGUGAGCCUGGAACUGUCCCUGAAAGUCCCACAUUCUAGGAAACUCCUGAGUGCAAAAAGUCCUGAUUUUCAGCAAUGAGUGAGGAAAGUUGGGGAUGGGAGGAAUACAAAAACUGUAUAGUGCCUCCCCCCACCCAAAAAGAGACUGAAGACAACCCUUAAGUGAAUAUGGCUAUGGUCUGCCUUCUGUUAACCUCUGAAUUGGCAGCCAUGACUUGUGGUUCACAAUAAUGGAUCAUCCAUUGUUGCAUCCUCUCAGAGCAAUUUUAAGUUCUAAGUAUGUACAGUGUGAGUCCUAAUCUUGAGUGUUAACAGUCUACUUAACUGUGUGCUUUGUAUGUAGAUAGACAGUAAACUUUGUGAAUUGUGACCAUGUUUUCUUAGAGUUCAGAUAAUGAAACUAAUGACAAGUACAAUACCAACGCCAGUGUGACCUAGACAAUACCAAAGCUGUUUAACAUAAACGGCUAUGUUAUUUUAAUGACAGAUGGAAGGACACAUACAGCUGGAUUAGGGAGGUAAGUAACCCAAACAGAGCAUACUGCACAAUAUGCAGAAAAGAAUUUGCGGUUGGGCAUGGUGGAGAAGGGGAUGUGAAAAAACAUACAGACAUUGAAUCUAACAAGUCUGGGAUGAGACAAUCACGUACUUUUGAAUCAAUUCAAAGUGUUUUCAUUUCCCAAAAUGACACCAAUGGUCAAUUGAAAAUAGCAGCUGCUAGUGGGGCACGGUGGCUCACACCUGUAAUCCCAGCACUUUGGGAGGCUGAGGCAGGCAGAUCACCGGAAGCCAGGAGUUCAAGACUAGCCUCGUCAACAUGGUGAAACCUGAUCUCUACUAAAAAUACAAAAAUUAGCUGGGUGUGGUGGCCCCUGCCUAUAAUCCUAGCUACUCAGGAGGCUGAGGCACAAGAUCAGUUGAACCUGGGAGGCGGAAGUUGCAGUGAGCUAAGAUUGCGCCAGUGCUACUGCACACCAGCUUGGGCGACAGAACGAGACUCUGUCUUAAAAAAAAAGAAAGUAAAAAAGGCUGGGCAUGGUACUUUGAUUUGAAAAGUGGAGUUUCAAGUUGCCUUCUUGAUUUCUAUGAAAAUUUUUAUGAAACCUCAGAAAACAUAAACAAUUAUUGAUAGCAUGUCCAAAUACAAACUAGACUUUGCUCACCUAUCUGCAUAUUCAGCAGACAGUGCAAAUGUAAAUUUUGGCAAGUUCCAUUCAGUCUACAAACUUCUCACCACAGAAAAAGAAAAGGUUUUACCUGCUAAACGGCCUGCACAACUGGUAUACAAGACUGCUAAAAAGGGCUGUGAUUUGCUUUCCUGUGAUACUGAGGCUUUCACAAUCAAAGUUUUGGGUUGCUUUUCAGUUUCCUCAAAACAUGCAGAGACACUUCAUGAGGUUUUUGACUUUGUCGAAAUGAAAACAGAAUCCUUCAACAUGUGCCUACAAGAUGGCUAUCGUUACUGGCCAUAGAGAAGAUGUUAAAAUGUUGGCCUGCCAUCAAGUCUUAUUUUCAAAAUAUGGGAAAAGAAGAGUGUUCUUCUCUAAUUUGGAAAUACAUCAAGGAUGAGGAUGAAGAAACAAGAUUAUAGUACAACAGAAAUAUAUAUGCCUUUUGUCCAGAACUGCUUGAUGAUCUUUGAAGAAGUUAUAAGGAGCGUAGAAAAGGAUACACUAACUGCACCUGAGUUAUUUGAUAUUAUGUGUAAGUUGCGACAAAAGCUCAUACAGCAAAAAAAUGACUCUUUGGAAAGAAGAUUGUUUUAGAACUCAAAAAAAUGUCAUCAGAAAAGGGCAACCAAAUUGAACUGGACUUUCUUGAUUACUAGAACUUUAACUUUUUUUUUUUUUUUUUUGAGAUGGAGUCUUGCUCUGUCAUCCAGGCUGGAGUGCAGUGGCACGAUCUCAGCUCACUGCAAGCUUUGCUUCCCCAUUCAUGCCAUUCUCUUCACCUAAAAUUAACCAUCACAAAAGUUAAGGAGAAAGAAGACAACUUGUAGGGGAGGCUGCUAUGCAAGAUAGUGUGUGAAGGAAGGGCUCUCUGAAGAAGUAACAUCUGAGCAGAGACUUGAAUGAAGUGAAGAAGUGAGCCAUGUGGGUAUGGAGGAUACAACUUGCAGGUAGAGAGGACAAGUGUGGUGUGUAUCAGGGUCAGCAAAGAAGCCAUGUGACAGAGAAGGGUGGGCCAGGGAGAUAGGGAUAAGUGAUCUACCUCCUGGGGAGGUGGCCAGGAGCUAGAGCAUGAGGAUCUUGUAGGAUUUUGUUCUGCAAGGUAUGUACAUCCUCAUUGUCUUUCACAUUCUAAGGUGGUACCACUCAGUGAUUGAAAUCCUUAAGCGUUAUAUUAGUCUGCUUGGGCUACCAUAACAGCCAAAAGUAGCUAUUUUUUGAAUUUCUAAUGGUUUAGUCAGACUACAAAUUACUUAAUAACAGGAGCUACAGUUCAUUCCUGGAUAUAUCCCCAGAAUCAGGGACAGUUUCUAGAACACACUUGAGUGCUCAACAGACAUAGCUAUUAUAGUUAGUUGAAAUAGAAUUGGCAAUGUGGGAAAUAAGAAAUCAUAUUUUUGGCCCAGCACAGUGGUUCACGUCUGUAAUUCCAGCACUUUGGGAGGCUGAGGCAGGAGGAUCAAUUGAGGUCAGGAGUUUGAGACCAUCCUGGCCAAUAUGGUGAAACCCCAUUUCUACUAAAAAUAUAAAAAGUAGCUGGGUGUGGUGGUGUGUGCCUGUGAUCCCAGCUACACAGGAGGCUGAGGUGGGAGAAUCGCUUGAACCUGGUAGGCAGAGAUUGGAGUGAGCCAAGAUCAUACCACUGCACUCCAGGCUGGGCAACAGAGCCAGACUCCAUCUCAAAAAAAAAAAAAAAGAAAAA
rnacentral:lncRNA from 1 species